UUGUAGUUGGAUUUGGAGAAAAGACAGUUUUGUCAGUGCAUGGAGGGUCUUUGAUCAGGGAAGAAUGAGAGAGAAAAAAAUCCUGGGUAAGAAAAGAUACAGUUCAGUCCAGAAACGCCACACCAAACCCCUCUCACUGUGUCUGUGAUCUUUGAGCUCCCUCAGAACUCCUUGAUCGCAACAUCCUGUUUACCCUUUCCACUUGGUGAUGGAUCUCUGGUAUACAUUCUACCAUAUCUCGUGAUGUGGCCAGGAAUAUUCAUUUCAAAAUGUGAAGUUCACUUGUGCCAUAGUCAUGGGUUCAUCUCUUGUAAGUCUUAGUAAGAAGCAAGGAGAUAUUUCUCCAAAGAAGAAAAGAACGUCAUGUACAGAAGAUGUGGCUUUAUUCCAAACUGAUUGGGCUAUUCCUAUUAGAGCUCCAUCCACAUACAGUUUUUGUCGCUCACACUUCAAGUAUUUGAGGGCCAAAUGGUGGAACAGUGGGCACUGUGGCCUGGACUUGCUCUGGAGACUGAACUUUCUCUGGAUUCCCCUCAAAACUAGAAGCCUUAAAAUAUUACUUCUUAAAUGAGUCAGAGAAGCACACUUGAAACUGGUGCAUUUCCUCUAA